ensembl:lncRNA
GUUGAAAUUUCAGGGUUAAAAAUUUCCGAGUUGAUUUUCACUCCCAGAGUGUAAUUUUAACACAUUCUGAUUUAAAUGGUGUUCAGUGUUAUUUGGUUAUUUGGCAGAGUUGAUCAUGUCAGUGUUAACCCAACUCCGCAGAGAUGUAAUUAAGCUCCGCCCAUGCCUUUCACCUCUUCGGUUAGAGACAGAGAAGACAAGUCUGCACCAUUUUCUACCUCUCAUGCAGUACUACACGUCAUGGAGAGAUUUGGCCUGCCACCUGAUGCAAAUGUUAUAUACAAAGGAUGCAACAGGGACAGAAGUUGAUGCAGAAAUAUUCAGCGACCUCGUUGGACAAGGCAAUGUGGUCCUGACAGUUUUCUCAGAUCAGGGUGAGAUAUCAAGGCAGACGUCUGACUCAAGCUUCAGCUCAAGUGCAUCAACUAUAAUCCUAGAUGUUCCUAACAAGAGACAAAGAAUUGAGGAUACACGUGAUGCUGUGUCUGCUAAACAGUUGAUAGAAGCUGUGCUAAGAGGCAAGUCUGGAGGUGAAGAAGUACUACAGAAGUACCAAACAACAGAAACCCUAACAGAUGCUGCAAGAAGACAAAUGGUUAAUUUCCUGGUGGCUCACAUGAUUGACAAUCAUGGGCACUGCCCCACUAAAACAAUCAGAGAAGAUUAUGCACGUGGGAUAGUGAUGCUGUUCCCUUCCCUUAAGGAUCCAUACUCCAAGAAGGGCUAUGAACACUUCUAUGAUGCUGCAAGCAGCACAGGAUACAUUUCUUGGCGUCUGAAAACAGUCCAGAGGAAGAUUCGUCAAGGAUCUGCACAGCCACUCUUUCAUCUCCUUCCACCACCUCCAGGGGGACUGAAGUCUCCAAAAAUUAGUGCAUGUGAUGCAGUUGAAAGACUUGUUGUAUUUCAUAAGUCAUGCUGCAGUUUGGAGGAGCAUCUCCGCAACCAGCAGGGUCGGCAGCCGUACCUCCUCGCUGUUGGGCGUCAGAAGAGCAAGAUUGACAGCCUCUACAUCACCAUGGAUAAGCGUCUCAUCCCAUGCAAGGCAAACCGCUUCCUCGGGGCAUGUGAUGAACUUUUCAAAGCACAUUUUGUGUUUAAUUUGUCUUACGAUGUGGCACUUGUGAAUUUUUAUACAUUCCUGCAGACAACAGUGUAUAACAUUGAUGUGGGGAAAAUGAAGGAGUCACCCAGAGUUAAAGACUUGAGAGCAAGACUGCUUAACCAGCCAGUAGCAUUCUCACCCUGUGAGUAAGAAGCUAUAACAAUGCUGACCUGUUUCAUGUGUUGAAAAACAAGCUAUUUACAGAGAAUUUUCAUGACCAUCAUCAUGCAUUCAGAGUAUUACAAAAUGCGGAAAGAUGUUUACUAAAAAUGUCUGCGCUUAAAUUUCAUAAACCGUUUCAUAUUCAAAGCUCAUACAAUGUUUUGGAUGGAAGUUUGUACAUUAUACCUUCAUUCACAAUGUUUUAAUUCAACUGACUGCAAGGGAGAAAAGGAAUAAAUGUUUUUGAAAAUG